AGUACCUGGAGUCAGCCUCCCUGCGCCUCCCAAGAAACAUCCGCUUCCUGAGUCCAAGAACAGUGUCCACUCCCUUGGCUUGUGAGGAGUGUCUACACGGCCCCUGUCCACUCCCCUCAGCCUGAGAGAGCAUGUAGACGACCCACUGUCCACUCCCUCGGCUGUGAGGAGCGUGUACACGACCCACUGUCCACUCCCUCGGCUGUGAGGAGCGUGUACAUGACCCACUGUCCACUCCCUCGACUGUGAGGAGCGUGUACACGACCCACUGUCCACUCUCUCGGCCCGUGAGGAACGUCUACACGGCUCACCCACUGUCUGUUCCUUCAGCCUGUGGGGAGCGUUUACAAGGCCAGCUAUCCGCUCCCUCAGCCUGUGGGCACAGCAGAUAAGACUCGGUUGGGACACCCUAUUCUGUGUGCCUGGUGUGA